UACGUAGGGUGCGAGCGUUGCCCGGAUUUAUUGGGCGUAAAGGGCGCGUAGGCGGUCACGCGCGUCCGUUGUGAAAUCGCUCGGCUCAACUGGGCGAGGUCAGCGGAUACGGCGUGGCUGGAGCAAGCUAGGGGGCAAUGGAAUUCCCGGUGUAGUGGUGGAAUGCGUAGAUAUCGGGAGGAACACCAGUGGCGAAGGCGGUUGCCUGGAGCUUUGCUGACGCUGAUGCGCGAAAGCGUGGGGAGCGAUCCGG
rnacentral:rRNA from 1 species